rnacentral:rRNA from 1 species
AACGAACGCUGGCGGCAGGCUUAACACAUGCAAGUCGAACGCGCCCUUCGGGGCGAGUGGCAGACGGGGGAGUAACGCGUGGGAACCUACCUUUUGGUACGGAAUAACUCAGGGAAACUUGAGCUAAUACCGUACGUGCCCUUCGGGGGAAAGAUUUAUCGCCAAAGGAUGGGACCGCGUCGGAUUAGGUAGUUGGUGGGACAAUGUCCUACCAAGGCUGCGAUCCGUAGCUGUUCUGAGAGGAUGCUCAGCCACACUGGGACUGAGACACGGCCCAGACUCCUACGGGAGGCAGCAGUGGGGAAUAUUGGACAAUGGGGGCAACCCUGAUCCAGCCAUGCCGCGUGAGUGAUGAAGGCCUUAGGGUUGUAAAGUUCUUUCGCCGGUGAAGAUAGUGACGGUAACCGGAGAAGAAGCCCCGGCUAACUUCGUGCCAGCCGCCGCCGUAA